CACGUAGUUAGCCGUGGCUUUCUGGUUAGGUACCGUCAAGACUUGUUCAGUUACUAACAAAUUUGUUCUUCCCUAACAACAGAGUUUUACGAUCCUAAGACCUUCAUCACUCACGCGGCGUUGCUCCGUCAGGCUUUCGCCCAUUGCGGAAGAUUCCCUACUGCUGCCCCCCGUAGGAGUCUGGACCGUGUCUCAGUUCCAGUGUGGCCGAUCACCCUCUCAGGUCGGCUACGUAUCGUUGCCUUGGUAAGCCGUUACCUUACCAACUAGCUAAUACGGCGCGGGUCCAUCUAUAAGUGACAGCCGAAACCGUCUUUCAACAUUGAACCAUGCGGUUCAAUAUAUUAUCCGGUAUUAGCCCCGGUUUCCCGGAGUUAUCCCAGUCUUAUAGGUAGGUUACCCAGUGUUACUCACCCGUCCGCCGCUAACAUCAGAGAAGCAAGCUUCUCAUCUGUUCGCUCGACUUGCAUGUAUUAGGCACGCCGCCAGCGUUCAUCCUGAGCCAGGAUCAAACUCU
rnacentral:rRNA from 1 species